GAAACUGCCUGAUGGAGGGGGAUAACUACUGGAAACGGUAGCUAAUACCGCAUAACGUCGCAAGACCAAAGAGGGGGACCUUAGGGCCUCUUGCCAUCGGAUGUGCCCAGAUGGGAUUAGCUAGUAGGUGGGGUAACGGCUCACCUAGGCGACGAUCCCUAGCUGGUCUGAGAGGAUGACCAGCCACACUGGAACUGAGACACGGUCCAGACUCCUACG
rnacentral:rRNA from 1 species